UAAAUGGUAGGUAGACGUCUCCCACUGAGGAAGGGAUCUAGUUUUGUACUAAAUGCUAGGUAGACGUCUCCCAUUGAGGAAGGGAUCUAGUUUUGUACUAAAUGGUAGGUAGACGUCUCCCACUGAGGAAGGGAUCUAGUUUUGUACUAAAUGGUAGGUAGACGUAUUCCAUUGAGGAAGGGAUCUAGUUUUGUACUAAAUGGUAGGUAGACGUCUCCCACUGAGGAAGGGAUCUAGUUUUGUACUAAAUGGUAGGUAGACGUAUUCCAUUGAGGAAGGGAUCUAGUUUUGUACUAAAUGGUAGGUAGACGUAUUCCAUUGAGGAAGGGAUCUAGUUUUGUACUAAAUGGUAGGUAGACGUCUCCCAUUGAGGAAGGGAUCUAGUUUUGUACUAAAUGGUAGGUAGACGUCUCCCACUGAGGAAGGGAUCUAGUUUUGUACUAAAUGGUAGGUAGACGUCUCCCACUGAGGAAGGGAUCUAGUUUUGUACUAAAUGGUAGGUAGACGUAUUCCACUGAGGAAGGGAUCUAGUUUUGUACUAAAUGGUAGGUAGACGUCUCCCAUUGAGGAAGGGAUCUAGUUUUGUACUAAAUGGUAGGUAGACGUCUCCCACUGAGGAAGGGAUCUAGUUUUGUACUAAAUGGUAGGUAGACGUCUCCCACUGAGGAAGGGAUCUAGUUUUGUACUAAAUGGUAGGUAGACGUCUCCCACUGAGGAAGGGAUCUAGUUUUGUACUAAAUGGUAGGUAGACGUAUUCCACUGAGGAAGGGAUCUAGUUUUGUACUAAAUGGUAGGUAGACGUCUCCCAUUGAGGAAGGGAUCUAGUUUUGUACUAAAUGGUAGGUAGACGUCUCCCACUGAGGAAGGGAUCUAGUUUUGUACUAAAUGGUAGGUAGACGUCUCCCACUGAGGAAGGGAUCUAGUUUUGUACUAAAUGGUAGGUAGACGUAUUCCAUUGAGGAAGGGAUCUAGUUUUGUACUAAAUGGUAGGUAGACGUCUCCCACUGAGGAAGGGAUCUAGUUUUGUACUAAAUGGUAGGUAGACGUCUCCCACUGAGGAAGGGAUCUAGUUUUGUACUAAAUGGUAGGUAGACGUCUCCCACUGAGGAAGGGAUCUAGUUUUGUACUAAAUGGUAGGUAGACGUCUCCCACUGAGGAAGGGAUCUAGUUUUGUACUAAAUGGUAGGUAGACGUCUCCCACUGAGGAAGGGAUCUAGUUUUGUACUAAAUGGUAGGUAGACGUAUUCCACUGAGGAAGGGAUCUAGUUUUGUACUAAAUGGUAGGUAGACGUCUCCCAUUGAGGAAGGGAUCUAGUUUUGUACUAAAUGGUAGGUAGACGUCUCCCACUGAGGAAGGGAUCUAGUUUUGUACUAAAUGCUAGGUAGACGUCUCCCACUGAGGAAGGGAUUUAGUUUUGUACUAAAUGGUAGGUAGACGUCUCCCACUGAGGAAGGGAUCUAGUUUUGUACUAAAUGGUAGGUAGACGUCUCCCACUGAGGAAGGGAUCUAGUUUUGUACUAAAUGGUAGGUAGACGUAUUCCAUUGAGGAAGGGAUCUAGUUUUGUACUAAAUGGUAGGUAGACGUAUUCCACUGAGGAAGGGAUCUAGUUUUGUACUAAAUGGUAGGUAGACGUAUUCCACUGAGGAAGGGAUCUAGUUUUGUACUAAAUGGUAGGUAGACGUCUCCCACUGAGGAAGGGAUCUAGUUUUGUACUAAAUGCUAGGUAGACGUCUCCCACUGAGGAAGGGAUCUAGUUUUGUACUAAAUGGUAGGUAGACGUCUCCCAUUGAGGAAGGGAUCUAGUUUUGUACUAAAUGCUAGG